rnacentral:rRNA from 1 species
UACGUAGGGGGCGAGCGUUGUCCGGAGUUACUGGGCGUAAAGCGCGCGCAGGUGGCUCGUUGCGCCCGGCGUGAAAGCCCCCGGCUUAACCGGGGAAGGUCGUCGGGGACGGGCGAGCUUGAGGGCGGCAGGGGCCGGUGGAACUCCGGUGUAGCGGGUGAAAUGCGCAGAUAUCAGGAGGAACACCGAUGGCGAAGGCAGG